rnacentral:rRNA from 1 species
AACGAACGCUGGCGGCAUGCCUAACACAUGCAAGUCGAACGAGACCUUCGGGUCUAGUGGCGCACGGGUGCGUAACGCGUGGGAAUCUGCCCUUGGGUUCGGAAUAACAGUUAGAAAUGACUGCUAAUACCGGAUAAUGUCUUCGGACCAAAGAUUUAUCGCCCAGGGAUGAGCCCGCGUAGGAUUAGCUAGUUGGUGAGGUAAAGGCUCACCAAGGCGACGAUCCUUAGCUGGUCUGAGAGGAUGAUCAGCCACACUGGGACUGAGACACGGCCCAGACUCCUACGGGAGGCAGCAGUGGGGAAUAUUGGACAAUGGGGGAAACCCUGAUCCAGCCAUGCCGCGUGAGUGAAGAAGGCCUUCGGGUUGUUAAAGGCUCUUUUGCCAGGGAAGGAUGAUGACUGUACCUGGAGAAUAAAGCCCCGGCUAACUUCGUGCCAGCAGCCGCGGUAAU